rnacentral:rRNA from 1 species
GUACACGCUGUGACUAGCAUAUCAAUAAGCGGAGGAAAAGAAACUAACAAGGAUUCCCCUAGUAACGGCGAGUGAAGCGGGAAGAGCUCAAAUUUGAAAUCUUAAAGGGUUUCCCUUUACGAAUUGUAGUUUAAAGAAGUGUUUUCUGUUGAGGUUUUGGUAAAAGUUCUUUGGAAUAGGACAUCAUAGAGGGUGAGAAUCCCGUAUUUGACCAUUGAUUUUCAACUGUGUGAUACACUUUCAAAGAGUCGGAUUGUUUAGGGAAUGCAGUCCAAAAUGGGUGGUAAAUUUCAUCUAAAGCUAAAUAUUGGCGAGAGACCGAUAGCGAACAAGUACCGUGAGGGAAAGAUGAAAAGAACUUUGAAAAGAGAGUUAAACAGUACGUGAAAUUGUCAAAAGGGAAGCGUUUGACACCAGUGUUGUUUUUCUGAAAAUCAAUUAAAGAACUGUUUAUGCUAAGCUGUUUAGACUUUAUCAGCUAUCUGUUUAGUUUUGAGCUUUUCUUUAAUGCACUUUUCAGUUAACAAGUCAACAUCAAUUUCUUUUGCUGUAAAAAAGCUUGAGGAAGGUGGCUUGAGAUUCGUCUUAAGUGUUUAUAGCCUCUUGCCUAUGCAGUCGGAGAGAUUGAGGUCUGCAGCGUAGAUCCUUCGGGGCUAAAUGCAUUUGUGCUAAGUUAUAGCAUUUUAUAGACAACUUGUUGACUAUGAUUUGUCUUGUAGCUUACUCGCCUAUGUUAUUUUACCUACGCUUAGGAUGUUGAUAUGCAUGACUGAUAU